rnacentral:rRNA from 1 species
UGGGGAAUUUUGGACAAUGGGCGAAAGCCUGAUCCAGCAAUGCCGCGUGUGUGAAGAAGGCCUUCGGGUUGUAAAGCACUUUUGUCCGGAAAGAAAUCCUUGGCUCUAAUACAGUCGGGGGAUGACGGUACCGGAAGAAUAAGCACCGGCUAACUACGUGCCAGCAGCCGCGGUAAUACGUAGGGUGCAAGCGUUAAUCGGAAUUACUGGGCGUAAAGCGUGCGCAGGCGGUUUGCUAAGACCGAUGUGAAAUCCCCGGGCUCAACCUGGGAACUGCAUUGGUGACUGGCAGGCUAGAGUAUGGCAGAGGGGGGUAGAAUUCCACGUGUAGCGGUGAAAUGCGUAGAGAUGUGGAGGAAUACCGAUGGCGAAGGCAGCCCCCUGGGCCAAUACUGACGCUCAUGCACGAAAGCGUGGGGAGCAAACAGGAUUAGAUACCCUGGUAGUCCACGCCCUAAACGAUGUCAACUAGUUGUUGGGGAUUCAUUUCCUUAGUAACGUAGCUAACGCGUGAAGUUGACCGCCUGGGGGAGUACGGUCGCAAGAUUAAAACUCAAAUGAAUUGACGGGGUCAUAGCUGUUUCC